rnacentral:rRNA from 1 species
GAUGAACGCUGGCGGCGUGCCUAAUACAUGCAAGUCGAGCGAACGGACGAGAAGCUUGCUUUUCUGAUGUUAGCGGCGGACGGGUGAGUAACACGUGGAUAACCUACCUAUAAGACUGGGAUAACUUCGGGAAACCGGAGCUAAUACCGGAUAAUAUUUUGAACCGCAUGGUUCAUAAGUGAAAGACGGUCUUGCUGUCACUUAUAGAUGGAUCCGCGCUGCAUUAGCUAGUUGGUAAGGUAACGGCUUACCAAGGCAACGAUGCAUAGCCGACCUGAGAGGGUGAUCGGCCACACUGGAACUGAGACACGGUCCAGACUCCUACGGGAGGCAGCAGUAGGGAAUCUUCCGCAAUGGGCGAAAGCCUGACGGAGCAACGCCGCGUGAGCGAUGAAGGUCUUCGGAUCGUAAAACUCUGUUAUUAGGGAAGAACAUAUGUGUAAGUAACUGUGCACAUCUUGACGGUACCUAAUCAGAAAGCCGCGGCUAACUACGUG